UAUAAGCAAUCUAUACUGUGAAACUGCGAAUGGCUCAUUAAAUCAGUUAUCGUUUAUUUGAUAGUACCUUACUACUUGGAUAACCGUGGUAAUUCUAGAGCUAAUACAUGCUAAAAACCCCGACUUCGGGAGGGGUGUAUUUAUUAGAUAAAAAACCAAUGCCCUUCGGGGCUCUUUGGUGAUUCAUGAUAACUUAACGAAUCGCAUGGCCUUGCGCCGGCGAUGGUUCAUUCAAAUUUCUGCCCUAUUAACUUUCGAUGGUAGGAUAGAGGCCUACCAUGGUAUCAAUGGGUAACGGGGAAUUAGGGUUCUAUUCCGGAGAGGGAGCCUGAGAAACGGCUACCACAUCCAAGGAAGGCAGCAGGCGCGCAAAUUACCCAAUCCCGACACGGGGAGGUAGUGACAAUAAAUACUGAUACAGGGCUCUUUUGGGUCUUGUAAUUGGAAUGAGUACAAUUUAAAUACCUUAACGAGGAACAAUUGGAGGGCAAGUCUGGUGCCAGCAGCCGCGGUAAUUCCAGCUCCAAUAGCGUAUAUUAAAGUUGUUGCAGUUAAAAAGCUCGUAGUUGAACCUUGGGCCUGGCUGGCCGGUCCGCCUCACCGCGUGUACUGGUCCGGCCGGGCCUUUCCUUCUGGGGAUCCGCAUGGCCUUCACUGGCUGUGUCGGGGAACCAGGACUUUUACUUUGAAAAAAUUAGAGUGUUCAAAGCAGGCCUUUGCUCGAAUACAUUAGCAUGGAAUAAUAGAAUAGGACGUGCGGUCCUAUUUUGUUGGUUUCUAGGACCGCCGUAAUGAUUAAUAGGGAUAGUCGGGGGCAUCAGUAUUCAAUUGUCAGAGGUGAAAUUCUUGGAUUUAUUGAAGACUAACUACUGCGAAAGCAUUUGCCAAGGAUGUUUUCAUUAAUCAGUGAACGAAAGUUAGGGGAUCGAAGACGAUCAGAUACCGUCGUAGUCUUAACCGUAAACUAUGCCGACUAGGGAUCGGGCGAUGUUAUUCUUUUGACUCGCUCGGCACCUUACGAGAAAUCAAAGUCUUUGGGUUCU
rnacentral:rRNA from 5 species